rnacentral:tRNA from 1 species
GGAAGUAUGGCUCAGUGGUUAAGAGCGUUUGUUGCUCUUGCAGAAGACCUGGGUUCAAUUCCUUGCACCCA